UGAAAAUUCUUCAAAGAACUUUUCUUUUUGACAAAUCUGGGAGCGUUUAAGCGGCGCCGCGGCUUCACCAGCCGUGGAAGGUUGAUCCACCCCGGCGUCCUUGCAUAACGUCUGCUGUGCGAUGACGGCGCCGUGUCACGGUGGCGGCCGCUUGAUUGACAGUCACUCAGGGGCGCGCCAUUUAGCCGCCGCGGCCGUCCUCGCGUGUCACUGCCCUGAUGAAAAGGUCGCCCUCGUCGCGCUAAUGAGUCAUCUGCUUUCGUGACUGGAGGACGGGGAAGAGGACCGGGUCUGAGGUGGAGUCCGAGAGGUCGGCGCCAUCAGAGCAGGCCCGGGUUGACCUUUAGCCCUUCACGUUCCCGCGUCCGACGCGUCAGCUUAUUGAUUUUUCCAACUGAUGAAAGCAGCUUUUUAGGAAAGACUGUCCUGAUUCUCAUAUCACUCCUCCAGCAGGUGGCGCUGCUCGCAUCAUUUGUGCUAACAAAUAUUUUAAAAGUUAACACAAGUUAGAAGCUUAUGGCUAAUGGUCCCUGGAUUUUACUUACAUACAGGCUUUUGACACUUUUGAAAGUAUUUUUUUAUGAUAAAAACUAAGAAAUUAACAAUUUUGGCAAUAAAACUUUUUUUUUUCUGUUUUACAGAUGUUUGACAUCUUUAAAUCAGAAAAAUCUUCUGCACAAAGUUCCCUACAGCAGGUUGAGAGCAGCUAACGGCUCAGUGGUGCGAAACAACGAGACCUUCAGCCAAAACUCCAGGAACCAGGAGACGUUCGUCCCUCUUCCUGUUUCUGCAUGGAGACACUUUCCCACUCCGGGUUUGGGUUUGUGGUCCUUCUUCCUGCACCACCUUUUCUGGACGAGCUGGACUCCUGGCGAGAAGAGAGCGGAACAUUUGUUGUGCAUUAGCGUCCUGACAGGAAGCUGCGGGCUGAAGGAGAGACGGCACCUGGGCGGCGGCCUGACGAUUGAAGGGCUACGCUAGGUGGACUGAAGCGUCCCACCUCCCUCCGCCGACCGCACGGCCCGGCUCAGAUGCCGCUUAUUGGAUCCAGGCUGAGUGGAUUUGGGGGAGGAGGCCCGGCUCCCCCGCCCACAAACCACAACAGAAGGCAUGAAAACAAACUCCUCAGAAUAGCCGCGCUCGCCGUCGCUUGGCUGCCGGUUCAAAGAUUUGUGGGCAGAUGUUUGAUCUCCGUUCAAUAAUCAGUUUCUCUCUUUUUUUUUUUCUUUCCACAUCAGGGCGACUUUGGCGCUCUGGUGUCUCCAAACGGCAGCGAGCAGCAACUGCCUGAAGUUCUGCAGCCCCGCCUCCCGUGGUCACCGUCCCACCCCGACGCCGCUGCACGCCACUGGCCGCCCUCGCGUUGACCCGGGCCAGAGAUGGGUCUGUUUCACGUUUUCCCUCCAUGUGUUUGUUCCCCUUUAACAACAACCGGCGCUAAAACGCCUCCUCGGCUUUAGGAACUCCGCUGGUGAUCCCGUAAACGCCGCUCAGGUCCAUCGAAAAGAAAGAAAGAAAAAAAAAACCUCGGGUCAAACUCUUGAAACCGCUGUAGCAUCUGGAAGUCUCCCAACUCCUGGAGGUGAUGGGUUAGCUUCUGCUAAGUCCAAAGACAGAAGCUAAGCUAGCAAGAAGCUAAAUAAACAAGCGUGUCC
ensembl:lncRNA